rnacentral:rRNA from 1 species
ACACAUGCAAGUCGAACGAAGUAGCAAUACUUAGUGGCAGACGGGUGAGUAACAUGUGGGUAUCUACCCUUUGGCCUGGAAUAACACGAGGAAACUUGUGCUAAUACUGGAUAAGUCUUUACGGAGAAAGCUUUAUGCACCAAUGGAUGAGCCUGCACUUGAUUAGUUUGUUGGUAGGGUAAUGGCCUACCAAGACUGUGAUCAAUAGCUGAUUUGAGAGGAUGAUCAGCCACAUUGGGACUGAGACACGGCCCAAACUCCUACGGGAGGCAGCAGUGGGGAAUCUUGCACAAUGGAGGAAACUCUGAUGCAGCGAUGCCGCGUGAGUGAAGAAGGCCUUUGGGUUGUAAAGCUCUUUCGUCGGGGAAGAAAAUGACUGUACCCGAAUAAGAAGGUCCGGCUAACUUCGUGCCAGCAGCCGCGGUAAUACGAAGGGACCUAGCGUAGUUCGGAAUUACUGGGCUUAAAGAGUUCGUAGGUGGUUGAAAAAGUUGGUGGUGAAAUCCCAGAGCUUAACUCUGGAACUGCCAUCAAAACUUUUCAGCUAGAGUUUGAUAGAGGAAAGCAGAAUUUCUAGUGUAGAGGUGAAAUUCGUAGAUAUUAGAAAGAAUACCAAUUGCGAAGGCAGCUUUCUGGAUCAAUACUGACGCUGAGGAACGAAAGCAUGGGUAGCGAAGAGGAUUAGAUACCCUCGUAGUCCAUGCCGUAAACGAUGUGUGUUAGACGUUGGAAAUUUAUUUUCAGUGUCGCAGUGAAAGCGAUAAACACACCGCCUGGGGAGUACGACCGCAAGGUUAAAACUCAAAUGAAUUGACGGGGACCCGCACAAGUAGUGGAGCAUGUGGUUUAAUUCGAAGAUACGCGCAGAACCUUACCAACACUUGACAUGUUCGUCGCGACUUUAAGAGAUUAAAGUUUUCGGUUCGGCCGGACGAAACACAGGUGCUGCAUGGCUGUCGUCAGCUCGUGUCGUGAGAUGUUGGGUUAAGUCCCGC